rnacentral:lncRNA from 1 species
GCUUUGGAGUCUAGGGUACCCUUCAUCCUUCCACACAAGCUCCCACAACAUGAUUAAUCAAAGAAUUUUCAGGUAAUAAGGGAGAAAAAUAUUUUGAGAUGUGUAUUUACUUAAUAUUUAACAUACAUUUACUUACAAAUGUGUCACUCCUUAUCUAGAAUUCCUAUUCUCACCGCUAUUUCUCUCUGUGGUACACUUAGCACAGAAAA